UAAAUCUAUGGUGGAAAUAAAUAUUUUAUUAUUUUUUCCUCACCGUGUGUCACCGGUGAGUCUCUAUCACAUACUGUUACACCUGCAGCUAAUGACUAACUAACUAACUAAUUAACUAACUAACUAAUUAACUAACUAACUAUCACCCCCAGUAUACCUUACUGUAACCCUUUCAGUUCGGUUUUUAGAGUCAACGCUAAUUUCUGAAGAGAUUUCUCUUGAGUAUCCACUGUGCCCUAACCUAGGUUAGCUAAGUUAGGGUUAGAUAGACAGCAUAUAUUGUACAGAAGCUAGUGAAAUGAUUUAACACUAUUUCUGUUGUGUAUUUUCUUGGUUCUUUUUGCUUUUAGACGUAAAGGGAAGGUUAGAUUAGGGAAUUAGUCUCAAAAAUACAUUUUUGAUGACCCUUUGUUUGAUCACAAUGAGAGAUUCAUAAAAAAUGUGGUUACAAUUUUAGGUAAAUAUUAUAUAGACAAUAUGAAAUUUGCUAAUAAAAAGAGGAUUGAGGCAGUGAUGAGCUGACAUAAGAUUGUCUGCAGUGGCAGGGUGAAGAUCCAGCCGCGUGUGAGGAGCCUCAGAUGAAGCCGAGGGCCCACAUUAAGAAGUGCAUUGAAGGUCAGCUGGAGGGACUCCUUCCCACCUCCCACCAAUUGCCUCCAACCACACCUGAAAGGGAUGGCAGUAAGGCUCUGGUGGCGGUUGCGGAGGCAGAACCCUUGAACAGGCUGAACACCGCUGGUCCAGUUGCACAGUGUGAGGAAGCCCCGAUCACGUCCCUCACCACCACCCACUGCCCGGAGACAUUCAGCCAGUAAGACACUGCACUAUCACCCACCAUCAACACUCAAAUAAUCUCUUAAACACCUCACCACCAACAGUAAGACCUCUGUUUUUUCUCAUUUCAGGUCAGGGAUCGAUGUCCUGGUGGUGGUUGCAGAGGCGGGUCCCUCUUACAGGCUGGACACCAACAGCCCCGAGCCUGAGUCUGAGCCAGUGC
ensembl:lncRNA